CAGAGGAGCAAAUUGUAGAUAUUUUAUUUAAAAAUACACUUUCCAGAUUAAUAAUUGUUGGUUUUCUUUUUAAAGGUAUAUGUGGAAAUGGUCUUGGUACAGUUCAGUAAGUAUUAAAGGGUUAACUACAGCCCUUGAAGUGCCACCGCAUUUCAUCUCUGGGAUGGAGGAGGUUUCUCAGGCAGUGCCUAACCUGGACGUUGCCUGGUGUGCAUGCAGCUGCCAGCCCAGCUGGGAUGGGCACUGGAGCAGAAUGAGCAACCUCUCCAGAUGUCUCUCCUGGAGCAAAGCAGGAGCAGCUCCCUGCUGAAAGCUGUGGAAACCCACCCGUUCUGUGCUGAUGGCGAAGCUUCUGGCUUCUUUGAUGUUGGAGAAGGAAGGGUUAGUGGAUGUGGAUGUGCACAGAGCUAGUUUAAUUCCUUUUUAACUUGACCAACAAAACAAGAAAUAUCCAGAAAACAGCAAGACCCCGCCUGUGGGCUUGUUUCUCACAUUAGAUGCAUUCAAACCUGUGCUGCUGCUCUACAGCUUGAUUGUGUGAAGCGACAACUCAAACGCUGCUGCAAGUUGUUACCAUGCAAAUGCUUCCACAUGGGCAACCACGAGUGCCAUGCACGAAGACGUUGCCUAAAUAACUUAUGCGAAGCCAACAUGAGGAGAAGCAACAGAAGGAGAAAGACGUGUUGGGAGAAAAAGUGCACGUGAGAAAUUUGGGGCUGCCUGCGAGGCGUGAGAGGUGUCCUUCGGGGCUCCCAAGUGAAGCCUUUGCCAACCACAGCUGACGAACAAGGCAGCAUGAUCAACAGGAAAGUCAGAGUCUAUUUAUCUCUGGCACAGCCUGCCCAUUUCUAGUCUGGAUGGAAAAGAAGACUAAAGUCCACGGAGCUCUUCGGCAAACAACAACCAGCAUAACAACAAAUGCAGCAGAAGAGAAUGCCAAGGUUGUCAUCCCCCAUCAGCGGUUUGGAUGGAUUUCACCCUGGGAGAAGCUUUCGGGACGCUCGGGGCGGAAUCUUGCGCAGGAAACAGGUGGUUUGCUUUACUGAGAGGCAUGUGUAAUGGCCAGGGAGCUGCGCCGCGCCACGCCAAGCUACAGCAGAUGGGCUGCAGCUCGCUCCGCUCCGCUGAAGGAUAUU